UAUGAAGAACGUAGCGAAAUGCGAUACGUAAUGUGAAUUGCAGAAUUCAGUGAAUCAUCGAAUCUUUGAACGCAUAUUGCGCUCUCUGGUAUUCCGGAGAGCAUGCUUGUUUGAGUAUCAGUAAACACCUCAACUUCCAUAUCUUUUUUGAAAUGGGAGUUGGACUUGAGUGAUCCCAACGCUUUUCCUCACCGAAAAGUGGCGGGUUACUUGAAAUGCAGGUGCAGCUGGACUUUUCUCUGAGCUAUAAGCAUAUCUAUUUAGUCUGCCUAAAAAACAGAUUAUUACCUUUGCUGCAGCUAACAUAAAGGAGAUUAGUUCUUGUGCUGACUGAUGCAGGAUUCACAAAGACGGCUUCGGCCGACUUUGUAAACUCGAUCUCAAAUCAAGUAAGACUACCCGCUGAACUUAAGCAUAUCAAUAAGCGGAGGA
rnacentral:misc_RNA from 1 species